UCCUCCCCACAGGCCGCAUGGCCUCCCCCACCCAGAGGCAGCUGGGCAGGGGAGAGGUCACAUCAGCUCACCUGCCGGACUCCAAAGAGGAAGUCUCUCUGGGAAUCUUCUGCUUUUAACCCCUGUGUGUUCUCAGAGGCGUAUCCAAAUCCUCAGUGGCCACCACAGGUGCCAAUUUCAAAUCUGGCCACUGAUUGGUUUGACCACAACUUUUCCAGAAACACAUUUCCGGGCCAAACCAAGACAACAGGGAACCUGAGAGGUCUUUGAGGAUGGGCUCACAAUCUAUCCUCACUAUCAUGCUCUUCCACUCCCACAAUGCCCACUCUCCUCCACCCUUCCCCUUGAACUUCAAAGGUUUGUCCAGCUGCCUUGUAAAGCAGGUUGAGGACUUAAUCUCUCUUUUACUUUUAAUUGCUUUUUAUUCACAGUCAGACUUCAUUUAUUAAUGUCCCUAGCUUUGAUUAAAGAUCAUUUUUUAUUGGAUAUAACUUUUCUACAUUUUUAUAAAUAUAUUCAUGCACAUUUAAUUAAUGUCUUUAUGCAUCUAUAUAUUGAUAUAUUUGUGCUACAUACAGGCAUGGUGGAGUCAAGACACAGGCAAUCACAGUCCAGUAUGAAAACACCUGGGGCACAGCAGUUAACCAAAUGGAAGCUAUUUGCUAUGGAUUGUGGCUGAAAGAGCAGAAUUCCAAAGGAGUAUGAGAGAGAAAUCAGCAUUUUUUUCUGGGACACAGUUCAUCUGACCUACUUUGCUACUUUAGGCUGAUCAUAAACACUUCUACAGAGUUCAAUGCUUCCUCCAGUUUCCUCCGGAUGGUGGCCCUCCAGCACAGUUCACAGCCCGACAAAACAGCUGUUGCAGGUUUUACUUGGUCUGUAUCUUCCUGUAUUCUGAGACUUGCACAUUAUACACAUGUUCUUAGGUUUCAAUUUAUCCAGUUGUGCUAGACUAAGCAAAUGUUUUAAUUAAAUUUUAUGAGUCAUAUCUUAAGCAUAAUACCCUUCCCAUAAUACCCUUAUAUCCAUGGGAGUAGCAUACCAUUGUGAGCCAUGCAGAUUAACCAGGGUGUGCUGCCUGCAUUGUUCUCUUCCUGUUUGGCAGAGUACUGACAGGGUCUAAAGCUCAGUCUGAAAGAAGAAAUGAUCUGACUCAUGAAAAAGACAAUAUGAAAUAGUCAGCAUGGAAAAGGCAGUGAUAACAAGCUCUGGCAGACAGAGAAGUUCUGCUGAAGAAUUCUGCAGGUGGUAUAUACACAGACGCAAGCAACAUGUGUGGUUCCCUGGAGAAAUUCAGUUGUAAGUGAGAAAUUUAAACUGUUGAUUUGGGUCCAUGCCACAAUGGGAAGAAAGAAUUUGUGAGACUUAGAGAUCUGCUUAUGCAGAGAGUAUCCUGUUCCUGGAAUACCUUCAGCUUAGGGGAAGUACUUUGAUAAAGAACUGUGGGAUAAAAUUUCCUCCAUUUAACUGAACAGAGAAUACUUCAAUGACGAAUGCUGUACAAAACUGUAUUUCUCAGGAAAGAAACACAACUUUUUGUAAUGUUUUGUAUGCCACUUGCUUAUUUCCUGAUAUGGCUUCAAUUUCCUUCAGAAAUGUACAGGUGAAUUUUUGUGGCAGUCAACCCUAAAUGAUCCAUGACCAACAGAUCUGUGAUGCUUAGAGUGAGAAAAGUGACUCCUAAACUAAAAACAACUUUGUAGGUAAGCAUAGGCUCUGAUGAACCCUUUUAAAUGACAGAAACAGGGUUGUGCUAUUCAACAAAAUGGACACAGUGUGUAGCAAGCAGAUUCACUAUGUUUGUGGUAAUAAAGUUCAGUCAGUGAGAGGAGAUGCUGAUCAACCUGUGCUGACCUCUACUGUUUUCAUUUCCCAUCCUACUUCUUAAUUAAUUCAGGUGCUUCAUAUUUUACUCCUUUUCUGCAUCAACUUGGUCCUCAUUAGGCCUGUUCUGUGUGAUUUUUCUGCUGGCAAAGGAAUGAUAUUAAUGAGAGAAACUGCCAUUUAAUUUCAGUCUCUCAUUAUUUCAUAUGCCAUAUAUUCAUAGAGAUUUUUUUUUUCUGUAGAUUGAGGUGGAUUGAUUUCUCUAGAGCAUUGCUGGCUUUUGAACCCUGGAAUCUGCAGGAACUUUAUUCCAUUAUGCUGCAGAAAAGGUGAAAUUCAAGAACUUAUAUUAUUGUGAACCAGCUUUGCUUAGGAAGAGAAGUUACUAUUCAUGAGCUGGGUCUAUUCAGAACCAAUUGUUAAGGUAUAGAGAAAGAAAGUUGUCUGUAUAGGUUGUAAACAGAAUUUCAUAUCCUUAAACUUUUUUAAAUUGUUUUUUAGAGAUACCUAUGUAAGUUUAUUUACUUUUUAUUCAUCUCUUAACAGCCCCACAUCUGAUCUGACUGGGUAUCUUUCCUUUGAUUCAAUUGUGUUUCCUCUUUCUUUUAUGUGACUGGGAAUUUAGAAAACACAAGCAAUUCUCUGUGCUGACUCACAUUCAUUUCUUUAGCUGUCUUCCAAGGAUACAGUCAAAGAUAAGGUCAAAAUUACUCUUGUUGUUCUAUUGAAAGUCUAAAGUGCUAGCCUGGAUUGAAAGAUGUAGUCUUCAAUUUUGUAAAAACCUCUUUCUAUUUUAAUUUUAGCCUGUUCCUUUCCCUGAAAAACUUUCUAAAGAACUGAGUUUUACUGCUUUGUGUGAUAAUGUGCAACCUUCUCCUGAAGUCUGACAGUUGGGAACAAUACCUAAUGGGACUGUCUGUCAAUUAUGACACCUUCCUGCUCAGCAAAGAAAUAAAGAACAACCAUUUAUUUGAAACUGCAUGUGAACAGAUAUGGAAAUUUUUAUGGUGAAUUACUGUCAGUUAUAUUCUCUUUUAAUUACUGUCAUGUCCUUUUGGUGAGUCGUUUUAUCACUACAUGUUUUUUCUGCAGGUUGGAAACUUCUGCUGAUUUAAUUUGUUCUUCUGUUUUGUGUU